GGGGUCGCGCGGGUAGCUAACUGGUAUCCAUGGCAACCAAAGUUGUAGAACGCCAGUUGGCACGAAGCCAGAGCGAAGCUGCGGAGAUUAUUUAUCCUGGAAAACAUGGCAGAGAACGUAAAGGUAGCCGGUCAGUUUCAUGGUGGAUCGGAAGUAAGAGUCCCCCAAGCCCUCUUUUUUAUUAUACCACUGUGAAGGAUUCCUGCGUGUGUUUUUGUGGGGUCGACUGUGGCGACAGCAAAGGACGCAACGUGGAGAGGCUAACAGGCUAACCAUGCUAAUGCUAACCACCCAGCAGGCAGCGCCAGCUGAAAAAGCCCAGGAGUUAAAGGCAGGUUUAAUCAAACAGCAGUCUUUCUUUACGAGUUUAGUAAAAAUAUGGUAAAGUGAGCAUCCCCAUCUACCUUUUAACACAGGAGUUUCAUCCUUCUGAAGUCAUUUUGGAAAAUUGAUGUCCUUCACGGCCACUUGCAUCUCAAAACCGACAUGUCAAGGCGGACGAGUGCUCCAAUCCGAGGAGAUAAUUGUUUAAGAGAGUUCCAGUCUGAAAACUAUUUGACCUUUGGUAAAUUACCUGGUGGGCAGAAGAUUCACAGAUCUGAGUGAAACAAACUGCUGGAGAGAAAAUUAAAUACUGCAGCGAGUUUCAAGCUAAAUCACUUCAG